rnacentral:sRNA from 1 species
GGCACGGGCCUGUGUUCCAGGCCAACCUGUGGCGACCCAGAUGAGAGCAAAACCUUGAGGACUCAGGAACAGGCCCCAACACCUCUGGCACUGCCCAAGUGGAUUUCCACGCACAAAGGAUGUUGGUGGCCCUGGUGACCUGUGGAGACAUGGCUAGAUCCACCCUCCA